UCCGGUUUGUCACCGGCAGUCCCAUUAGAGUGCUCAACUGAAUGUAGCAACUAAUGGCAAGGGUUGCGCUCGUUGCGGGACUUAACCCAACAUCUCACGACACGAGCUGACGACAGCCAUGCAGCACCUGUGCAUGGGCUCCGAAGAGAGGCCGGCGUUUCUGCCGGCUGUCCCAUGCAUGUCAAGACCUGGUAAGGUUCUUCGCGUUGCUUCGAAUUAAUCCACAUAAUCCACCGCUUGUGCGGGUCCCCGUCAAUUCCUUUGAGUUUUAAUCUUGCGACCGUACUCCCCAGGCGGAUGACUUCACGCGUUAGCUGCGUUACUAAAGGAUUUAACUCCUCCAACAACUAGUCAUCAUCGUUUAGGGCGUGGACUAC
rnacentral:misc_RNA from 1 species